UGGGGAAUCUUGGACAAUGGGGGCAACCCUGAUCCAGCCAUGCCGCGUGAGUGAUGAAGGCCUUAGGGUCGUAAAGCUCUUUCGCCAGAGAUGAUAAUGACAGUAUCUGGUAAAGAAACCCCGGCUAACUCCGUG
rnacentral:rRNA from 1 species